UACGAAGGGGGCUAGCGUUGUUCGGAAUUACUGGGCGUAAAGCGCACGUAGGCGGAUCGAUCAGUCAGGGGUGAAAUCCCAGGGCUCAACCCUGGAACUGCCUUUGAUACUGUCGAUCUGGAGUAUGGAAGAGGUGAGUGGAACUCCGAGUGUAGAGGUGAAAUUCGUAGAUAUUCGGAGGAACACCAGUGGCGAAGGCGGCUCACUGGUCCAUUACUGACGCUGAGGUGCGAAAGCGUGGGGAGCAAACAGG
rnacentral:rRNA from 1 species